ACCUCUGUGGUUUAGUUGGUAGGACAUUGGCUUAGUAAUUAUAACUCCCAGGUUCAAGUCCCGGGUGGGGUA